rnacentral:rRNA from 1 species
GUCGAUGGUUGUCGUCGGCUCGUGUCGUGAGAUGUUGGGUUAAGUCCCGCAACGAGCGCAACCCCUACGUUUAGUUGCUAACGCGUGAAGGCGAGCACUCUAGACGAACUGCCGUUGACAAAACGGAGGAAGUGGGAUGACGUCAAAUCAUCAUGCCCCUUAUGUUCUGGGCUACACACGUGCUACAAUGGCCGGUACAGACGGACGCAAAGCCGCGAGGCGGAGCAAAUCCGAAAAAGCCGGUCUCAGUUCGGAUUGCAGGCUGCAAUUCGCCUGCAUGAAGUCGGAAUCGCUAGUAAUCGCAGGUCAGCAUACUGCGGUGAAUACGUUCCCGGGCCUU